rnacentral:rRNA from 1 species
GGCUUAGAGUUUGAUCCUGGCUCAGAUUGAACGCUGGCGGCACGCCUAACACAUGCAAGUCGAGCGGUUAGUGUUUUCGGACACUGAUAGCGGCGGACGGGUGAGUAAUGCGUAGGGAUCUGCCUUAGAGUGGGGGAUAACACGGGGAAACUCGUGCUAAUACCGCAUAUAGCCUGAGGGUAAAAGGGGGCGUAAGCUCUCGCUUUAAGAGGAACCUGCGUUGGAUUAGCUAGUUGGUGGGGUAAAGGCCUACCAAGGCAACGAUCCAUAGCUGGUCUGAGAGGACGAACAGCCACACUGGGACUGAGACACGGCCCAGACUCCUACGGGAGGCAGCAGUGGGGAAUAUUGGACAAUGGGGGCAACCCUGAUCCAGCGAUGCCGCGUGUGUGAAGAAGGCCUGAGGGUUGUAAAGCACUUUCGGUGGUGAGGAUGCCUGUUGGGGCGAAUAAGUCCAGUAGGU